rnacentral:rRNA from 1 species
UACGUAGGCAGCAAGCGUUGUUCGGAGUUACUGGGCGUAAAGGGUGCGUAGGCGGCUUCUUAAGUCUGGUGUGAAAUCUCCCGGCUCAACUGGGAGGGUGCGCCGGAUACUGAGGGGCUAGAGUGUGGGAGAGGAAAGUGGAAUUCCCGGUGUGGCGGUGAAAUGCGUAGAGAUCGGGAGGAACACCAGUGGCGAAGGCGGCUACCUGGACCAGCACUGACACUGAGGCACGAAAGCGUGGGGAGCAAACAGG